rfam:Ovis aries breed Texel chromosome 11, whole genome shotgun sequence.
UCCCUGGUGGCCCAGUGGCUAAGGCUCCACACUCCCAAUGCAGGGGGACCCAGGUUCAAUACCUGGUCAGGGAA